GACACAGCGAAAAAGCAAGCUGGGAAGCGGGAUCCUUAUCCUCCUUUCGGAAGCCCGAACAAGAAAGAGGGCGAGCAAGUGGGAAUGCUUCCUUAAAUAACGGCACUCCCUCAUCCAAACCAGUCAAAUGACAGUCAUGCGCCCUUCCAGUGCUGUGGGGAAAACACCAGAUACGCUGUUCCAAGGCAGCUGACCACCAGUCCAGCGGCUGAGACAUAUCCACAGAAUACAAGACUCCUAAUACAAAUUACGGUGGGAACCAGCUACCUAGGAAGAUGAGUGAUGGGAAGGACGGUGAAGAAGGUGCUACUGCUGCGGGCACGCCUGGAAAACAAGGACCUCUUGCAAACCAGCUACCUAGGAUGAUGAGCGCUGAUGGAAUGGACGGUGACGAAGGUGCUGCUGCUGUGCAAGAAACUACCUCCCCCCCAUAAAAAGCUGAGGAUCCUGCUGUCCAGCGACCUUCACCACCAUUCCAUCAUUUAAUUUGGAAUGAAUUUCACCAAGUUUAGCUUGCUGUUGCUACAGAUUUUCCCAAAUGACAAAAGCAAUCCUUUCAAAACACACCACCUGCCUGUUUUUCUCUGUAUCUUUAUAUUUGCAUAUUGUUUGAUUUUUGAAUCAGUGUGACAAUCGCCCUCGUCACUUUCAUACUCAUGAGCUGAUUUGCAGGAACCUAUGAGAGGACUGGAAAGGUGGAGUCAGCAGCUACAUGCGGUUUGGCGGGAGAAAGAGUCAGAUAGAGAUUGGGAUGAGAUCCAAAUAGUGAUAGGGGCUGGUUAAUCAGAGAGGGGGGGGACAGAUACUGAGAGAGACAGAGCUGAUUAGGAAAAUAGGGAGAGAAGGUGGCAAUGAUACAGAUAGAGAAAAGAAGUAUGUACUGAGAGAACUGUUGAUGAAUUGCUUGUGUAUAAUGUGUAUCUGAGAAACUUCUGUUAUUAUUCAAUCUGCUUCACUUCAAUAAAAUAAGUUCUGUUUCUGUUCA
rnacentral:lncRNA from 1 species